rnacentral:rRNA from 1 species
GUCCACGCUGUAAACGAUGUGUGCUAGACGUUGGGGAGCCUAGCUCUUCGGUGUCGCAGCUAACGCGGUAAGCACACCGCCUGGGGAGUACGGCCGCAAGGUUAAAACUCAAAGGAAUUGACGGGGGCCCGCACAAGCGGUGGAGCAUGUGGUUUAAUUCGACGCAACGCGAAGAACCUUACCAGCCCUUGACAUGUCCGGUAUGGGCGGGGGAGACCCCGUUCUUCAGUUCGGCUGGCCGGAGCACAGGUGCUGCAUGGCUGUCGU